rnacentral:rRNA from 1 species
CCCUUAGAUGUUCUGGGCCGCACGCGUGCUACACUGAGUGGAUCAGCGGGUCAGGUUGCGCGAAAGCGUUUCCUAAUCUUUAAAUCCGCUCGUGAUGGGGAUUGACGGUUGCAAUUUUCUGUCAUGAACGAGGAAUACCUUGUAAGCGCGGGUCAUCAUCCCGCGCUGAAUACGUCCCUGCCCUUUGUACACACCGCCCGUCGCACCUACCGAUUGAACGUUCCGGUGAGACCUUAGGAUUUUGGUCUAUUUCAUUUAUUUGAGAUUUACUAGAAGAAUUUGAGCAAACCUUAACGUUUAGAGGAAGGUGAAGUCGUAACA